rnacentral:rRNA from 1 species
UACAGAGGUCUCAAGCGCUGUUCGGAUUCAUUGGGCGUAAAGGGUGCGUAGGUGGCGCGCUAAGUCAGGUGUGAAAUUUCGGAGCUUAACUCCGAAACUGCAUUCGAUACUGCCGUGCUUGAGGACUGGAGAGGAGACUGGAAUUUACGGUGUAGCGGUGAAAAUGCGCAGAUAUCAGGAGGAACACCGGUGGCGAAGGCGGGUCUCUGGGCCGAAACUGACGCUGAGGAGCGAAAGCGUGGGGGAGCAAACAGG